GAUGAACGCUGGCGGCGUGCCUAAUACAUGCAAGUCGAGCGAACCACUUCGGUGGUGAGCGGCGAACGGGUGAGUAACACGUAGGUGAUCUGCCCAUCAGACGGGGACAACGAUUGGAAACGAUCGCUAAUACCGGAUAGGACGAAAGUUUAAAGGUGCUUCUGGCACCGCUGAUGGAUGAGCCUGCGGCGCAUUAGCUAGUUGGUAGGGUAAAGGCCUAACAAGGCGACGAUGCGUAGCCGACCUGAGAGGGUGAACGGCCACACUGGGACUGAGACACGGCCCGGACUCCUACGGGAGGCAGCAGUAGGGAAUCUUCGGCAAUGGGCGAAAGCCUGACCGAGCAACGCCGCGUGAAUGAUGAAGGCCUUCGGGUUGUAAAAUUCUGUUAUAAGGGAAGAACGACUUUAGUAGGAAAUGGCUAGAGUGUGACGGUACCUUAUGAGAAAGCCACGGCUAACUACGUGCCAGCAGCCGCAGUAA
rnacentral:rRNA from 1 species